ensembl:lncRNA
AGCUAGGUCUUGACUCCACUAACCAGGACUCCAUGCGGUUUUGAGGUUGGACUUCAGCAGCACAAGGAAAUGUAGCUGGGCAGCUUGUAGUGGAAAGCGGAUGGACAGGUCUGCAUCACACCAUUUAGGUGCUAAGAGAUGGCACUUAUGGGGCUCAUCUCUGCCUGAGAAUUGGGUGCUCCAAGCACUGGAAGAGCCAACUCUGAUCCUGGACUGCUUGCUUGAACAAGCCUUAACUUCCAGCCACUUCAGUCCAAAGGCCAAGCUUCUCGUUUUCUCUUGAUGAUGGGUAUUGGUAAGAACACUACGUCUAAAUCCAUGGAGGCCGGAAGUUCAGCUGAAGGCAAAUAUGAAGAUGAAGCAAAGCACCCCACUUUCUUUACUCUUCCGGUAACAGCAUUCCCUGUCUUUUCUUAAGUUACUCUAAAGCAGUUUCUUUAUUGAAUAGGAUUAGUUUAAUACUUCAGUUUUCACUGAAGGUUAAAGCAUUUGAAAACCAAAUGCUUUUCACGUGGGUCAUCUGGGAACUCUGUUGGCUGACAAUGGUUUUGGCCUGUUCCCCACCCUAGAGUCACCUGAUGGGAUUAACUCCAAGAAGGAAGAGUGCCUUUCUGUAAAUGUUGUAAAACUGGCCCAGUGCUUACUGUGUGCUGGAGGAUGUUAAAGUCUUAAUUUUAUCUCUCAAAAUGUGUUCUUAUAAAAUAACCCAUGACCUGACUUCAGACUUGUCUUUCAAGAUGAGAGAAAAAAUGAAUGACAUUGUUCGGAACCCAGGUGUCCAUGCCUUAUAUUAUGGCAGUAGCGUCCAAGAUAGAGGUAUUUCACCUGAACAAGUGAUAUCAGUCAGAUACACAUUCAUUAUAUUCAGUGCUAUUAUUUUUUCAGAUUUAUGUGUAUAAAGUUACCUAAAGUGUUACUUUAGUAUUUUUUGUCUUUUUUUUUUUAAGGGCUGCACCUGUGGCAUAUGAAUGUUCCCAGGCUAGGGGUCCAAUUGGAGCAGUAACCACCAGCCUACACCACAGCAGCGUCAGAUUUGUGCUUUGUCUUCGACCUACACCACAGCUCAUGGCAAUGCUGGAUCCUUAACCCACUGAGCGAGGCCAGGGAUCGAACCUGCGUCCUCGUGGUAUUAGUUGGAUUUGUUACUGCUGAGCCACAAAAGGAACUCCUAAAGUAGUUUAAAAAGAAAAAAGCUCUUUAGGGGAAACUUGCCUCAGGUGUUUCUCCAUUAAUAUUGGAAAUGAGGUUAAUGUCGAGAAUACCAUUCUAGGGUUCCUUAAAAUAUGGUCCUGGAAUUUGCUUCAUUACUGCAACAUUACCAAGUAAGAAAGAUGUGAACACAACAUCUUUAAGCACAUUAGUUGACCUGAUUUACAGUCACAUUUUGAUUUUUACUCUGCAAAUUUGGAGAGCUGUUCCAGUGACUUUACAACUGGCACUACUGUUCUCUUCCUAUAAAGUAAAAUUUUGAAACUGAAUUUUCUGUUAUACUGAAGGCUUAAGGUUGACCCAGAUUCUCUAGAGGAAGAAACAAAUUAGGUUUCCAAUUUUAAAUUAGAGCAUGUUUGAAAAGUGAGACGUUCAUGCCUAGGUGUUGACCUUUUUUUUUUUUUUUUAAUGGCUCCAGUCUCAGCAUAUGGAAGUUCCUGAGCCAGGGAUUGAAUUGAAUCUGUGCUAUAGUCUGUGCCACAGCUGUGGCAACACCAGAUCCUUUAAUCCACUGUGCCAGGCUGGAGAUCAAACCUGCGCCUCUGCAGCGACCCAAGCUGCUGCAGUUGGAUGCAGCAGGAGCUCCCGUGCCUGAGUGUUGACGUUUGCCCAGGAGACCACUCACCUUCACCUUCCUUCACCUGAGAGACAAAAACUCGUGUAUACCCACCUGCCUUGUCAUUACGGCCUGGAGUUUUAGGCUUAUUUUAGCAUUUGAAUUAUGGUAUUGUAGCAUUAGCAGUUAAAUUCGCCAGCACAUGUUAUCAGUUUUUACAUCCACUGCGGCUUCUUACAUCUCUCUCCUUCCCUCUUUGUUAACUUUUCUUUUAAACUACACCAAGGGUCUAUAAGGGGUCACUGCCUUUAUCUUUGCACAUCUGAAAAUAACUAUAUUUUGCUCUCCACUCUCCCUCUUUUUUUUUCUUCUGCUUUUUAGGGCUGUACACAUGGCAUAUGGAAGUUCCCAGGCCAGGGGUUGAACUGGAACUGCAGCAGCCAGCCUACAUCACAGCCACAGCAAUGUGGGAUCCAAGCCAUGUCUGGGACCUACAUCACAGCUCACAGCAAUGCUAGAUCCUUAAACCACUGAUCGAGGGCAGGGAUUGAACCCGAGUCCUCAUGGAUACUAGUUGGGUUCAUUACCCCUGAGCCACAACAGGAAUUCCUGCUGUCAACUCUUGAGUGAACCUUUUUUAAAAAAAAUUUUAUUAUAGGUGAUUUACAAUGUCCUGUCAAUAUCUGCUAUAAGUGAACUUUGUUAAUUAUACAUUAGAGCCUCGUAGUUAGUCUCCAUCUCUCUUUAACUGCUUUCUCAUAAUUUGUAUAUCUUUUUCUAGCGCUACCUUCUGGAUAGAUUUCCCAGUGUUAUUUUCCAAUUUACUAAAUCUUUGUGUAUAGUCAUGUGUUUAUGUUGAAUUUUUAUUGCAAUUAUUGUAUUUAUUAUUUCUAAAAUUUCUAUUUGGUUCACAUCAACCGAUUUUUGUUUCUUAAUUUCUCAUAUGUAUGUGUUUGUUUUAUUUUUAUUUAUUUAUUUUUGGCCUUGCCUGCAGCAUGUGGAAGUUCCCGGGCCAGGGAUUGAACCUGUGCCACGGCAGUGACAAUGCUGCAUCCUUAACUGCUAGGCUACAAGGAAUUCCCUGUAUGUGUUUAAAAAUGUUGGCACAUUUAAGAGUUCCAUUGUGGCUCAGUGGUAACGAACCUGACUAGUAUCCAUGAGGGUUUGGGUUCGAUCCCUGGCCUUGUUGAGUGGGUUAAGGAUGUGGCGUUUCCAUGAGCUAUGGUGUAGGUUGCAGAUGCAGCUCGAAUCUCGAGUUGCUCUGUGUAGGCUGGCAGUUGUACCUCCGAUUCAACCCCUAGCCUGGUAACUUCCACAUGCUUCGGGUAUGGCCCUAAAAGGAGAAAAAAGAAAAAAGAAAAAAAAAUACU